GACGAACGCUGGCGGCGUGCUUAACACAUGCAAGUCGAACGGAAAGGCCCUGCUUUUUUGGGGUGCUCGAGUGGCGAACGGGUGAGUAACACGUGAGUAACCUGCCCUUGACUUUGGGAUAACUUCAGGAAACUGGGGCUAAUACCGGAUAGGAGCUCCUGCUGCAUGGUGGGGGUUGGAAAGUUUCGGCGGUUGGGGAUGGACUCGCGGCUUAUCAGCUUGUUGGUGGGGUAGUGGCUUACCAAGGCUUUGACGGGUAGCCGGCCUGAGAGGGUGACCGGACACAUUGGGACUGAGAUACGGCCCAGACUCCUACGGGAGGCAGCAGUGGGGAAUAUUGCACAAUGGGCGGAAGCCUGAUGCAGAAACGCCGCGUGCGGGAUGACGGCCUUCGGGUUGUAAACCGCUUUCGCCUGUGACGAAGCGUGAGUGACGGUAAUGGGUAAAGAAGCACCGGCUAACUACGUG
rnacentral:rRNA from 1 species